rnacentral:rRNA from 1 species
GGCUCAGGAUGAACGCUGGCGGCGUGCCUAACACAUGCAAGUCGAGCGGAGAGAGGCGCCGGAGAGGGUUCGGCCUGAUCCAUGCCUUCUUAGCGGCGGAUGGGUGAGGAACGCGUGGAGAACCUGCCUCACACAGGGGGAUAACAGCUGGAAACGGCUGUUAAUACCGCAUAUGCUCACGGUGCCGCAUGGCACAGGGAGGAAAGAUUUAUCGGUGUGAGAUGGCUCCGCGUCGGAUUAGCCAGUUGGCGGGUAACGGCCCACCAAAGCGAUGAUCCGUAGCCGGCCUGAGAGGGCGACCGGCCACAUUGGGACUGAGACACGGCCCAAACUCCUACGGGAGGCAGCAGUGGGGGAUAUUGCACAAUGGGCGAAAGCCUGAUGCCAGCGACGCCGCGUGAAGGAAGACGUACUUCGGUAUGUAAACUUCUAUCAGCAGGGAAGAAGAUGACGGUACCUGACUAAGAAGCCCCGGCUAACUACGUGCCAGCAGCAGC